rnacentral:pre_miRNA from 1 species
GCACAUAGGGCCUGAUCCGAAGCCCACUAGACUCAAUGGGAGCCUUUUCAUUGACUUCAGUGGGCUUUGGAUCAGCCCCAAACAUC